rnacentral:pre_miRNA from 1 species
GAUAUACUCCCUCCGUUCGGAAUUACUUGUCGCGAAAAUGGAUGUAUCUAGACGUAUUUUAGUUCUAGAUACAUCCAUUUCCAAGACAAGUAAUUCCGAACGGAGGGAGUACUCA